rnacentral:rRNA from 1 species
CCUACGGGAGGCAGCAGUGAGGAAUAUUGGUCAAUGGGCGAGAGCCUGAACCAGCCAAGUCGCGUGAGGGAAGACGGUCCUAUGGAUUGUAAACCUCUUUUGCCGGGGAGCAAAAAGCGGUACGUGUACCGCAUCGAGAGUACCCGGAGAAAAAGCAUCGGCUAACUCCGUGCCAGCAGCCGCGGUAAUACGGAGGAUGCGAGCGUUAUCCGGAUUUAUUGGGUUUAACGGGUGCGCAGGCGGCGAGUUAAGUCAGCGGUAAAAUUUCGGGGCUCAACCCCGACAAGCCGUUGAAACUGGCGUGCUAGAGUGGGCGAGAAGUAUGCGGAAUGCGUGGUGUAGCGGUGAAAUGCAUAGAUAUCACGCAGAACUCCGAUUGCGAAGGCAGCAUACCGGCGCCCAACUGACGCUCAGGCACGAAAGCGUGGGUAUCGAACAGGAUUAGAUACCCGAGUAGUC